rnacentral:rRNA from 1 species
GGAUUAGAUACCCUGGUAGUCCACGCUGUAAACGAUGAGAACUGGGUGUUGGGACGGUUGGCGUCUCGGUGCCGAAGUCAACGCGAUAAGUUCUCCGCCUGGGGAGUACGGCCGCAAGGUUGAAACUCAAAGGAAUUGACGGGGGCCCGCACAAGCGGUGGAGCAUGUGGUUUAAUUCGAUGCAACGCGAAGAACCUUACCUGCCCUUGACAUCCUCGGAACCGCUGAGAGAUCGGCGGGUGCCUUCGGGAACCGAGUGACAGGUGCUGCAUGGCUGUCGUCAGCUCGUGUCG